CCGGAAGAGAGGCUGGAUGCUACCCCAAGAUCAUUACAGAAGGCUUGCCAUAUCUGAGACGAGAGCAGGGAAACAAUGUCAAUGGGGAUGCCAUGGAGCUUGAAAACAUGGCUGACCAGGAUGUCAGCAGUCUCAAGGGCGGAGGGAAGUUGGGGUAGAAGAAUGAAAUGAACCAUCUUGGAGGAUCGGUCAACUGUGGUCAAUAUGACUUGGUUUCCAUCGGAGGGAGGCAGACCAGAGAAGAAAUCGAUUGACAGGUGGGACUAGGGAUGGUUAGGGAUGGGUAGAGGUUGCCUAUGGGGCGAUGGUGAGAGGACUUCCCUCGAGAGCAGAUAAAGCAUGCCGGGACAAACGUCCUGAUAUCCCGGGCCCCCCUGGACCAGCAAAAGAAUUGUCGAAAGAACUGGACUGUUCUAGUCACCUCAGUAUUGUAGUAGUGCUAACUUGGAAGAGUGUCCCUAUGGCAAGCUAUUGCGAGCAGACAAAAUUCAGGAUGAAAGCUGUGCAUUUAGGCACUUGGCAGAUCGCAGAUGUGUGAGGUUUUAGUGAUCUGUUCGUACUAGAAAGGGAUCUCAGCUCCAUCCAGCCAAUUUCUUCAUUCCUGGGCACCACAGCCAACAGUUCACUGUUGCCGAAAAUACAAGUACAGUAAAAGGUUCUUCACCCGCGGCAGCAGGCAUCUCGGGGCUUUUAGAAGACUGGGUGACCAGUUGAGGAGUGGUACAAGGGAAGGAGGGCAUGUCUAGCGCUCCAACGACUUUCUCUUAUGCGAUUGUCAAUCCGAAUCACCACGGAAUUAAUUGCUCCUCCUGAGUGGACAGCUGAUCAUGAAGCUCCGAUCGUCCGCAAACAAAAGCUGCUUUUUGCUAGCCUCAUUUCAUCACUCCCAAAGGCCAAAAUCUUGAACUCAAUGGUAUAGUUUGCAGCUGACUGAGAGCCCUGAUGUAAUGACAUUGGCCGUUUGCCGAAGGAUUGAUUAAUAAAGGGCUGAUCAAAGACUUAGUAAAAGAGGUACGUAAAUGAUU